GACAGAGGGUGCAAACGUUGCUCGGAAUCACUGGGCGUAAAGGGCGUGUAGGCGGGAAGGAAAGUCAGAUGUGAAAUCCCUGGGCUCAACCCAGGAACUGCAUUUGAAACUCCCUUUCUUGAGUGUCGGAGAGGAAAGUGGAAUUCCUGGUGUAGAGGUGAAAUUCGCAGAUAUCAGGAGGAACACCUGAGGUGAAGACGGGUUGCUGGGCUGACACUGACGCUGAGGCGCGAAAGCUAGGGUAGCAAACGGG
rnacentral:rRNA from 1 species